UACAGAGGGUGCAAGCGUUGUUCGGAAUUAUUGGGCGUAAAGCGCGUGUAGGCGGCUUUGCAAGUCGGGUGUGAAAGCCCUCAGCUCAACUGAGGAAGUGCGCCCGAAACUGCAGAGCUUGAGUACCGGAGAGGAUGGCGGAAUUCCCCAAGUAGAGGUGAAAUUCGUAGAUAUGGGGAGGAACACCGGUGGCGAAGGCGGCCAUCUGGACGGAUACUGACGCUGAGACGCGAAAGCGUGGGGAGCAAACAGGG
rnacentral:rRNA from 1 species